AGAGUUUGAUCCUGGCUCAGAUUGAACGCUGGCGGCAGGCCUAACACAUGCAAGUCGAGCGGCAGCGGGAGGUGCUUGCACCUCGCCGGCGAGCGGCGGACGGGUGAGUAAUGCAUAGGAAUCUGCCCGGUAGUGGGGGAUAACCUGGGGAAACCCAGGCUAAUACCGCAUACGUCCUACGGGAGAAAGCGGGGGCUCUUCGGACCUCGCGCUAUCGGAUGAGCCUAUGUCGGAUUAGCUGGUUGGUGAGGUAACGGCUCACCAAGGCGACGAUCCGUAGCUGGUCUGAGAGGAUGAUCAGCCACACUGGGACUGAGACACGGCCCAGACUCCUACGGGAGGCAGCAGUGGGGAAUAUUGGACAAUGGGCGCAAGCCUGAUCCAGCCAUGCCGCGUGUGUGAAGAAGGCUUUCGGGUUGUAAAGCACUUUCAGUGGGGAAGAAAGCCUGUCGGCGAAUACCCGGCAGGGACGACAUCACCCACAGAAGAAGCACCGGCUAACUCCGUGCCAGCAGCCGCGGUAAUACGGAGGGUGCGAGCGUUAAUCGGAAUUACUGGGCGUAAAGCGCGCGUAGGUGGCUUGAUAAGCCGGUUGUGAAGCCCCGGGCUCAACCUGGGAACGGCAUCCGGAACUGUCAGGCUAGAGUGCAGGAGAGGAAGGUAGAAUUCCCGGUGUAGCGGUGAAAUGCGUAGAGAUCGGGAGGAAUACCAGUGGCGAAGGCGGCCUUCUGGACUGACACUGACACUGAGGUGCGAAAGCGUGGGUAGCAAACAGGAUUAGAUACCCUGGUAGUCCACGCCGUAAACGAUGUCGACUAGCCGUUGGGUGCCUCGAGCACUUAGUGGCGCAGUUAACGCGAUAAGUCGACCGCCUGGGGAGUACGGCCGCAAGGUUAAAACUCAAAUGAAUUGACGGGGGCCCGCACAAGCGGUGGAGCAUGUGGUUUAAUUCGAUGCAACGCGAAGAACCUUACCUACCCUUGACAUCCUCGGAACCCUCUGGAGACAGAGGGGUGCCUUCGGGAACCGAGAGACAGGUGCUGCAUGGCUGUCGUCAGCUCGUGUUGUGAAAUGUUGGGUUAAGUCCCGUAACGAGCGCAACCCCUGUCCCUAUUUGCCAGCGAUUCGGUCGGGAACUCUAGGGAGACUGCCGGUGACAAACCGGAGGAAGGUGGGGACGACGUCAAGUCAUCAUGGCCCUUACGGGUAGGGCUACACACGUGCUACAAUGGCAGGUACAAAGGGUUGCAAGACGGCGACGUGGAGCUAAUCCCAGAAAGCCUGCCUCAGUCCGGAUUGGAGUCUGCAACUCGACUCCAUGAAGUCGGAAUCGCUAGUAAUCGUGAAUCAGAGUGUCACGGUGAAUACGUUCCCGGGCCUUGCACACACCGCCCGUC
rnacentral:rRNA from 1 species